CAAUAGCGUAUAUUUAAGUUGCUGCAGUUAAAAAGCUCGUAGUUGGAUUUCGGGUGGGAAUGGCCGGUCCGCCGUUUCGGUGUGCACUUGCUACGCCCACCUUGCUGCCGGGGACGUGCUCUUGAGUUCACGCUCGGGACACGGAGUCGGCGAGGUUACUUUGAGUAAAUUAGAGUGUUCAAAGCAGGCCUACGCUCUGAAUACAUUAGCAUGGAAUAACACGAUAGGACUCUGGCCUAUCUUGUUGGUCUGUAGGACCGGAGUAAUGAUUAAGAGGGACAGUCGGGGGCACUCGUAUUUCAUUGUCAGAGGUGGAAUUCUUGGAUUUAUGAAAGACGAACUACUGCGAAAGCAUUUGCCAAGGAUGUUUUCAUUAA
rnacentral:rRNA from 1 species